GAUGAAUGCUGGCGGCGUGCCUAAUACAUGCAAGUCGAGCGGUAAGGCCCUUCGGGGUACACGAGCGGCGGACGGCUGAGUAACGCGUGGGAACAUGCCCCAAAGUGAGGGAUAACGCACCGAAAGGUGUGCUAAUACCGCAUAUGGUCUUCGGAUUAAAGGAUUUAUCCGCUUUGGGAGUGGCCCGCGUACGAUUAGAUUGUUGGUGAGGUAACGGCUCACCAAGUCGACGAUCGUUAACUGGUCUGAGAGGAUGAUCAGUCAGACUGGAACUGAGACACGGUCCAGACUCCUACGGGAGGCAGCAGUAAGGAAUCUUCCACAAUGGGCGAAAGCCUGAUGGAGCAACGCCGCGUGCAGGAUGAAGGCCUCGGUCGUAAACUGCUUUAUGAGUGAAGAAUAAUGACGGUAAACUCAUGAAUAAGCACCGGCUAACUACGUGCCAGCAG
rnacentral:rRNA from 1 species